rnacentral:rRNA from 1 species
CCGGUCCGCCUCACCGCGUGCACUGGCUCGGCCGGCCCUUUCCUCGCGGGGAACCCCAUGCCCUUUGUUGGGUGUGCGGGCCAUCCGCGACUUUUACUGUGAAUAAAUCAGACUGUUCAAAGGAGGCCUUUGCUCGGAUGUCUUAGCAUGGAAUAAUGGAAUAGGACGUGCGUCCCUAUUUCGUUGGUUUCUAGGGACGCCGUAAUGAUUAAUAGGGAUGGUCGGGGGCAUCAGUAUUCAAUUGUCAGAGGUGAAAUUCUUGGAUUUAUUGAAGACUAACUACUGCGAAAGCAUUUGCCAGGGAUGUUUUCAUUAAUCAGUGAACGAAAGUUAGGGGAUCGAAGACGAUCAGAUACCGUCGUAGUCUUAACCGUAAACUAUGCCGACUAGGGAUCGGGCGAUGUUUCUUAAUGACUCGCUCGGCACCUUGCGAGAAAUCAAAGUAAGGUUC